UACGUAGGGGCCAAGCGUUGUCCGGAUUUAUUGGGCGUAAAGAGCUCGUAGGCGGUUCGGCAAGUCGAAUGUGAAAUCUCCACGCUCAACGUGGAGGGGUCAUUCGAUACUGCCGUGACUUGAGUACGGUAGGGGAGUGUGGAAUUCCCGGUGUAGCGGUGAAAUGCGCAGAGAUCGGGAGGAACACCCGUAGCGAAGGCGGCACUCUGGGCCGAUACUGGCGCUGAGGAGCGAAAGCGUGGGGAGCGAACAGG
rnacentral:rRNA from 1 species